GACGAACGCUGGCGGCGCGCUUAACACAUGCAAGUCGAACGGUAAGGCCCUUCGGGGUACACGAGUGGCGAACGGGUGAGUAACACGUGGGUGAUCUGCCCUGCACUUCGGGAUAAGCCUGGGAAACUGGGUCUAAUACCGGAUAGGACCACUGCCUGCAUGGGUGGUGGUGGAAAGCUUUUGCGGUGUGGGAUGGGCCCGCGGCCUAUCAGCUUGUUGGUGGGGUGAUGGCCUACCAAGGCGACGACGGGUAGCCGGCCUGAGAGGGUGACCGGCCACACUGGGACUGAGGUAAGGCCCAGACUCCUACGGGAGGCAGCAGUGGGGAAUAUUGCACAAUGGGCGCAAGCCUGAUGCAGCGACGCCGCGUGAGGGAUGACGGCCUUCGGGUUGUAAACCUCUUUCAGCACCGACGAAGCGCAAGUGACGGUAGGUGCAGAAGAAGGACCGGCCAACUACGUGCCAGCCGCCGCGGUAA
rnacentral:rRNA from 1 species